GCAAACUUGGUCAUUUAGAGGAAGUAAAAGUCGUAACAAGGUCUCCGUUGGUGAACCAGCGGAGGGAUCAUUAAAGAGUUUCGUAACUCCUAAACCCAUGUGAACAUACCUGACGUUGCCUCGGCAGGUCGCGCCUACGCCUACCCUGUAAGUCUUACCCUGUAAGUCCUACCCGGUAGACGCCGGUAAGCCUGCCGGCGGCCCGCGAAACUUUGUCUAGUAUUGAAUUCUGAACGUAUAAAUUAAAAAGUUAAAACUUUCAACAACGGAUCUCUUGGUUCUGGCAUCGAUGAAGAACGCAGC
rnacentral:misc_RNA from 1 species